UUAAACUAUUAUAUAGUACUCGGACGGCACGGUUAAUAACAGUGUUUUGGGGCCUCUGGCGGGCACACACCAGCGAGUCGCCGGUGGCCUAGACGGUCGGCCCGCCAAAGCAACAUAAGGUAAGAUAAACAGGGUGGGAGAUCUACCCCGAAGGGCAUGAACUCGGUAAUGAUCCUUCCGCAGGUUCACCUACGGAAA
rnacentral:misc_RNA from 1 species